rnacentral:tRNA from 1 species
GCGAAAGUGGCGGAAUUGGUAGACGCACGGGAUUUAGGUUCCAGCGCCGAAAGGUGUGGGGGUUCGAGUCCCCCCUUUCGCACCA